rnacentral:rRNA from 1 species
UACGGAGGGUGCGAGCGUUGUCCGGAAUCACUGGGCGUAAAGGGCGCGUAGGCGGCCGAGCAAGGUCGCGGUGAAAGCCCGGGGCUCAACCCCGGGUCGGCCGUGGCAACUACUCGGCUCGAGCACUGUAGGGGCGGGUGGAAUUCCGGGUGUAGCGGUGGAAUGCGUAGAUAUUCGCAAGAACACCAGUGGCGAAGGCGGCUCACUGGCCCGGUACUGACGCUGAGGCGCGGAAAGCGUGGGGAGCAAACAGGG